ensembl:lncRNA
CCUCUACAUUUCCAGCAGAAUAAUUUCUGCUUUUCAAUUAUGACCUAGGUAAGACAUUCUCUCCUUUAGCGAAUUUCUCUUGAUCCUUUCUCUCUUAGGCUCGGUGAACUGCCCCUCCACUAUGUUAUGAAAAUGUUCUCUAUCUCUACCAUCACUGCACAGGUCAUAUAUUAUUAUAAUUUUUAUUUUGUUUUUAAAAAGGUAAUACAGAUGCAACAAACAGGCUUUCACAUCGUCCCAGAAUGAUGACUGAAUACUGCAUUCUUGGUUCAGAGCAAAGCCAACAGGUGGUUCAGCUAUCUUUCUUCAUGCUUAAGAUAGAAACAAAUUCAGAAACCAGCUCUACUCCAACCAUCCUCCCUCCACACAGUCAACACAAGAAGACAGACUAUCCCCCCACCCACAUUUCUGUGGAGGACAUGCUGUCUUUUCCCAAGGCCAAGUGGAGGUCCCAAAAGAAUUUCUGUUUAAAAAAAACACAAAGUGGGGAAACCUAUAAAAAGGGUGACUGUCAUUUUUAUUCCAUUUUGAAUGUCUGCUUUACCAGAGAAUUGACGACAAUCAGAUGGGAGGAGUGAGCAUUUUACCAGUAAACCAUGUUGGAGUCACCAUCUGUCUACAACAGCUACCUGGAGUGCAUAUACAAUGAGGGAGAAUGGCAGUUACCACCAACUUCAGGCAGAACUGUGGCUGGCCCAGUCAGGAAGAUAUGUUUUGUUCUUUUCCUGCUACCUCAGCCUCACCCUGACAGGGAAGAGAGCAGCAGUGGGUAGAGGAAGGGGAGAGGAGAGAAGUGAAAGUCAGACCAUGCAACACACCCUUCCAUUACAGGCUUUGGGAAAGCCCUAGGAAUUGCCUGAUGAAGUCGCCUAGCGAUUGCCGGAGCCUGAUCAUGCAACAGGGGAAGACAUGCUCGUAAAGUGCCCAAGUUCUCCUACCAGAGGAAGUCCCGUCCUGCUGCAGCACUUCCUAGAACUGAGUGUGGAUCCAACCCUCCCUCACAGCCAUGGGACCCUGAGAACACUGACGUCAUCUCUCCUUCAACCAUAUUACCAUGGGUGAGGUAAGGUGAGGCCAGAUGCGGAUCUAGAGAAACCAGAAAGAAUUUUACAGUUUUGGUAGACUCAUAGUUCCCUCGGGAGGACACAGCCCGCCACACAGGGACAGUCAGGGCAAGUACCAGGGUCUACAGGAGGCAGAGACAGGGAGCAGAGCUGUGGUUAAGUGCCUUUAUUGUGGUUUCCAUGGGAAGGAAUGAGAAAGGCAGGGUAGGUUGUUUUUGGAUUGGCCUACAUUUGAAAGUGGCGUCCCCAUGAAAUUCAUGUUCACUGUGACUGUUAGAGUAUAUGGUUUGGGGCUAUCUAAAGUUUCCAGAUGUUUUUGAGUGAGCCAGAGUUUAUUUGGGAACAGCUAGUAGCCAUUUUGUAGAUGUUAAGGCAUUGAUUUACAGACGUUAAAAGAAUGGUUAAUACAAUCCCCACUUCAAGUAUAAGUCUGAUGAGUCUAAGCCGUGUAGGUGUCUUCCUGGUGAUGCAUGACGCAAUUUUUCCCAAUCCUACUUGGCUGAGAAGGACUUGGAGAGCAUGACCUGGCCAUCUAAGGCUAUGACAGGAAUGCAGACUUCACACUGCAUGCCAGCAUGGAAUGAGACCCAGAUGAGGCAGAUUACAUCUCAGCAGAGGCCAAUGUAGGCAGAGAAUUUUCAUGGAC